rnacentral:sRNA from 1 species
GUUUUGCGUUAGGGAUUGUAGUGGAAAUCCUUUUGCUUUUUCUGCAAAAGAUUGUAACGGAAAGCGCGACCCUUG